ensembl:rRNA 5S_rRNA 5S ribosomal RNA
AUCUACGGCCACACCACCCUGAAUGCACCCGAUCUCGUCUGAUCUCGGAAGCUCAGCAGGGUUGGGCCUGGUUAGUACUUGGAAGGGAGAAAUGAACAAGUUUAUCUGCAGUAACUU